CACAAAAACAGAGGAAUCUCCUGAUUCUCCAGGGUUAGGGCGUUCCCAGGCUCACAGCGCUGCUCAGGAGAAGAAGUUUGACUUGCUCUCAGACCUGGGAGGAGACAUCUUUGCUGCACCACCCACUCAAACUGCCAGCUCUACCAACUUUGCCAACUUUGCACAUUUUCCAAGCCAAUCGGCACCUCAGGGUAAUUCAAAUACCAACUUUGCCAACUUUGAGGCAUUGGGAAACACUACA